CCUGGAAGCGCCGGCCCCGGAGGCCGGCAACAGCGGUGAAUCCACAGCAGGGUCGUCUCACCAGGUCUGGGGACCCUCCCGGGAGCGCGCGCGGCGGGCAGAGGCGCGCGGCCAGCAACCGCGGGGGAACGGGAACACCUCACUACUUGAGCUUCAGGAAUAAAACAAACUGGGAAAGUUUCCUGAUUCAUCUUCUCUUCCUUGCAUACAAAAUCUCUUGGCAGACUGUUUUCAAGAUCUUUCCAAAGUUAGACAGACCCAAAGUUCUAGCUGUGAGCAAAGAAGGCAUUUGCUGUGGGAAAGUUUCAGAAGAUGGAGAUUAGGACAUCGAUACACACAAAGGAAAGACCAUGUAAGGACACAGCAAGAAGGCAGCCAUCUGCAAGCAAAGGAACAAAGCCUCAGAAGAAACCAACCCAGCCAACACCUUGAUCUUGGACUUCUAGCCUCCAGAAUUGUUAGAAAAUAAAUAUCUGUCAUUUAAGCUACCCAGUCUGUAGUAUUUUGUUAUGGCAGCCUCAGUAAACUAAUACAAGGGGAUAUAAUUUCUGUAUUCUAAAAGUAACACUUGUACAUCUACCAGCUUAAAAGUUAAUAUAGCGGUCCCAAAUAAUGAGUCAUUGGUUAAAUGAUGGUUAAUGCAUAUAACACAAUAUUAUAAAUAAUUAAAAAGUAAAAGGAAGAUCUAUAUAAACAUGGAAAGAUGAUGUCCUCUAAAUAGACAAUCAAAUAAAAAUUGCAGGUUACCAAAACAUAUGUGUAAUAGAGUCUCUUUGGCGGUCAUGAUGGAAGAUGUUGAUAUUGGCUCCAUGUUUUGUACAUUUUGAUGAAUUACAACAUAACAAGCAUUUAAAAUUUGUUUUAAAAAAGUUAUGAAAAGCAGAAAUAGGUGACAUAUACAAUAUCAGAGUUAACAAUAAAGAAUGAAAACUCUCAAUGCAAAUUAUAAAUUAUAAUUAUUUUUCAGUAUCUUUUGAUAUUAUACAAAUUCUGUGAAAAAGUCCCAUCCUUCUAUGGCUACCCCCAAAUGAUAAAUCUUAGGAAA